CUCACUAGAUGGUUGUUGUUAUUUAUGUAUAUAAUAUAUGUAUAGUUUCUAAAUAAAAAUAUUAUAUUUAUUCCAGCUGUCCCAUCCGGCGUUGACAGUGUCAAAGAUUUUUUUUUUUAUGAAUACAUGUGUUAUAAUAUGUAUUAGUAGGUUGAGGUGUAACAGCAUUUUAGGGGCUAUUGUAAUUCCCAUUUCCAGGACUUUAUCAUACAUACAGCCGACAGCCCGAUGACCUACAUUUUUGUGUAUUCUGGUCUACCUUAUGAUGGCCGCGAAGUAACGAUCACGUCACCGUUUAUCAGAUUGCCCAGUUUGAAAGAGUCUCCAACAAUGUCAUCGGAUAGGUACGCCAUAAACCGUGGCAUAGCGCUGGGCCAGCAUCAUUUUGUCCGGAUCAAUAUCUACAAAAAUGACGUCCCAAUUAUUAGAAGCUAAUAAUAUAGUGUCUUUGUCGAAUAGUCUGUACGUAUCAGCUGUAUGAAGUUUCCGCUGUGCCACAAAACGGGUCGACGCCGGUCGCUGAACAUGGGAAGUCCUCAAGUCCACCCAGCAUCGUAUUGAUGAUCAACAAUACAUCUUACAUCUUACAUCUUACAUCUAUCAUUGCAAUCUUAUAAUUAUUCACCUGAAUGCUUGUAAUCCUGAAUGUACAGUUAA